rnacentral:lncRNA from 1 species
GGUGGAGGGUCGGCCGACGGUGGACUUCGAAUAGCGUUGGAAAGAUUCGGCAGACAUCGAAGGUGAUUGGUCGUUGUAGAAAUCCAACUAUCGGAGUCCGUCCAUCGUAGAAGCUCGUCCGAUAUCCAUCCGCUAUGGAAGUUCGGACGGAGUCUGGUUCUUGUAAAAGACUGAAAGGAGACCACUUAUUGUAGAAGCUCGGUCGAAGAUCGAUUAUCGUGGGAGCUCGGAGUAGCGACCUGGCCGGU